rnacentral:rRNA from 1 species
GACGAACGCUGGCGGCGUGCUUAACACAUGCAAGUCGAACGGAAAGGCCCUGCUUUUGUGGGGUGCUCGAGUGGCGAACGGGUGAGUAACACGUGAGUAUCCUGCCCUUGACUUUGGGAUAACUUCAGGAAACUGGGGCUAAUACCGGAUAGGAGCUCCUGCUGCAUGGUGGGGGUUGGAAAGUUUCGGCGGUGGGGGAUGGACUCGCGGCUUAUCAGCUUGUUGGUGGAGUAGUGGCGUACCAAGGCGUUGACGGGUAGCCGGCCUGAGAGGGUGGCCGGCCACAAUGGGACUGAGAUACGGCCCAGACUCCUACGGGAGGCAGCAGUGGGGAAUAUUGCACAAUGGGCGGAAGCCUGAUGCAGCAACGCCGCGUGCGGGAUGACGGCCUUCGGGUUGUAAACCGCUUUCGCAUGUGACGAAGCGUGAGUGACGGUAAUGGAUAAAGAAGCACCGGCUAACUACGUG